GGUUAAGCGACUAAGCGUACACGGUGGAUGCCCUGGCAGUCAGAGGCGAUGAAGGACGUGCUAAUCUGCGAUAAGCGCCGGUAAGGUGAUAUGAACCGUUAU
rnacentral:rRNA from 2 species